GUGGAAAUAGCUGCUGCUUAAAGUUUCACACAAUAGAGCACAGAUCCCAUCAACAUUCAUGCAAUCCAUGUGGUUAUAAUCUACCUUCUGCAGUGCUGCUUGCCUUUGUCAUGGCUAAAAAUUGAGAAAUGUGAAUUGAAAACUUCGCUGUAUUACCUACUGCUUGUCAAAGAAACUGAGGAUGUCAGAAAUACGGAGAUGACAGGUUUUGUGGGAGGAAAAAGGCAUUAGAUUCUUAAGUAUCUCAAAAGUCUGCAGUUCUAGACAAAAAGGGGAGCAC